GGAGAGAUGUCCGAGCGGUUUAAGGUGCAAAUCUCGAAAAUUUGUGCAGGGGCGACCUUGCCGAGGGUUCGAAUCCCUCUCUCUCCG
rnacentral:tRNA from 1 species